rnacentral:rRNA from 1 species
AACGAACGCUGGCGGCAGGCUUAACACAUGCAAGUCGAGCGCCCAGAAAGGGGAGCGGCAGACGGGUGAGUAACGCGUGGGAAUCUACCCAUCUCUACGGAAUAACGCAUGGAAACGUGUGCUAAUACCGUAUACGUCCUUCGGGAGAAAGAUUUAUCGGAGAUGGAUGAGCCCGCGUUGGAUUAGCUAGUUGGUGGGGUAAAGGCCUACCAAGGCGACGAUCCAUAGCUGGUCUGAGAGGAUGAUCAGCCACACUGGGACUGAGACACGGCCCAGACUCCUACGGGAGGCAGCAGUGGGGAAUAUUGGACAAUGGGCGCAAGCCUGAUCCAGCCAUGCCGCGUGAGUGAUGAAGGCCCUAGGGUUGUAAAGCUCUUUCACCGGUGAAGAUAAUGACGGUAACCGGAGAAGAAGCCCCGGCUAACUUCGUGCCAGCAGCCGCCGUAAGAC